rnacentral:rRNA from 1 species
AUGCUCGCCCUCUUGCUCCUCCUCGUUUCCGCCAGCUCGUUGCCAGCGCCGGCGUCCGGCGAUGAAGGAGCCGUGCCGGUGAUCAACGCUUUCUCCCACUUCUGCGGCCCCACGAGCGAUGCCGAUGGACUCUACCAGCCCAGCAGCACCUUCGCGGCCAACCUCGCCAGCAUGUCCGCGGUGCUCCCCAAGAACGCAUCGGCCUCCGGCUUCUCCGCUGGCGCGUUCGGCCGGGCGCCGGACACGGCGUACGGCUUGGCGCUCUGCCGCUGGGACUACACCGGCGACGACUGCGGCGCGUGCCUCUCCAGGGCGUUCAAGGACGCGGUGAACCUCUGCGGCCGCAGCAAGGACGUCACCGUCUAUCACGACCAGUGCCAUAUCCGGUUCCACAGCCAGGACUUCCUCGCCGGCGCCGUGAACUCGCCCGAGAGCGUAGCGUCGAACAUGAACAACGUUUCCAGAGGGAACGUCGCCGCGUUCGACGGCCUGGUCACGAGGCUGGCCAACGCGGUGGCGGACAGGGCCAGCAACGUGAGCGGCAGGUACGCCACGGGCCAGGCCGGCUUCCCGCCGGACAAGAUCAACGUGUACGGCCUGGCGCAGUGCACGCCGGACCUCACGACGGCUCAGUGCCGGGCCUGCCUCGCCGGCAUCAUCAAACAGAUGCCCAAGUUCUUGAGCGGGAGGGUGGGCGGGAGGAUUCUUGGGGUGCGCUGCGCCGUCAGGUACGAGAAGGAUAUCUUCUUCGCGACCACCGGCGACAUGGUGACGCUCACGCCCCUGCUGGAUCCGUCCAAAGGGAGCAGCAACACGCACACGCUUUGGAUCGUCGCGAUAGCAGUCCCCGUAACCGUGCUCCUCUGCGGCUUCUUGGCAUGUUUCAUGUGGGUGAGAAGGCGAAGAAGAGGGACGGUGAACAUACCAACCAUGUCCAUGGAGAUGGAGCAGGUGCUGAAGCUAUGGAAAAUCGAAGAGAGCGACUCUGAGUUCUCGCUCUACGAUUUCGACCAGAUCGCAGACGCCACCAGAAACUUCUCCGACGACUACAAGCUCGGUCAGGGCGGCUUUGGCGCUGUUUACAGGGGUGAACUGCCUGGCGGGCUUGAGGUCGCAAUCAAGAGGCUCUCUACCUGCUCCGUGCAGGGGUUGAUGGAAUUCAAGACCGAGAUCCAGCUGAUCGCCAAGCUUCAGCACACCAACCUUGUCAGGCUCUUGGGCUGCUGCCUCCAGGCCGAGGAGAAGAUGCUCAUAUACGAGUACAUGCACAACAAAAGCUUGGAUUGCUUCAUCUUCGGUACAAGCACAACAAGAGAGACCGAGAGAGUCUCGCAUGCACGCAUCUCCUUCUGCCAGAUCUCAUUCGCUUACCCGUCUCGUUGCAAUUUUUUCUGUACAGAUAGUGCGAAAGGGGCUAUACUGAAAUGGGAGCGGCGCUUCCGAAUAAUCGAUGGGAUCGCCCAGGGGCUUCUUUACAUGCACAAGCAUUCCCGCUUGCGAGUUAUACACAGGGAUCUAAAAGCGAGCAACAUCCUCUUGGAUCGCGACAUGAACCCCAAGAUCUCGGACUUCGGUUUGGCGAGGAUAUUCUGCUCCAAUGUCACGGAGGCCAACACGACCAGGGUCGUCGGCACGCACGGUUACAUCGCUCCAGAGUAUGCUUCAGAGGGUCUCUUCUCCACCAAAUCCGACGUUUUCAGCUUUGGCGUCUUGCUCCUGGAGAUCAUAAGUGGGAAGAGGACUGCAGGAUUCUACCAGUAUGGAAAAUUCUUCAAUCUCACAGGAUACGCUUACCAGUUGUGGCAAGAGGCGAAAUGGCACGAGAUGGUCGAUCAGGUACUCGGGGUCGACUACCCGGUGACGGAGGUGAUGAAGUGCGUCCAGGUGGCGUUGUUGUGCGUCCAGGACAGCGCCGACGAUCGACCCGGCAUGUCCGAUGUCGUCGCCAUGCUCAGCGGCGAGGGGCUCACGCUGCCGGAGCCCCGACAGCCGGCCUACUUCAACGUUAGGUUAUCAAGCUUACCAGAGUCAAAUAGUUCCUUUGGUGAAUCGUCGUACAUCAGCAACGUCGCCUUGACUGAUGAAGACGGCAGAUAA